GGUGGCGUAGGGGUCAGAUGACCAAAGAUCUGAUUGUGCGGUAAAAACAAGCAACAAGGAAAUCAAAAGCUGUAACGCAAAGAUCAGUGGUGAGAUCUACCCGACGACGUGCUGCUGCUGCUGCUCGGGCUCUGUAUGCACACUGGGCCCAGGUGUGUACCAUGUCGCUGAUUAACCUCCCGAUCGGUCUGCAGCCCUGGAGAGAAAGCAAGCAGGAGCAGAGUGAACCAGGCAGGGGGGCCGUCACAACAGCGAGGGCAGCAAAAUCCUUGACUGCAACACUGUAGACUGAAGAGAAAACCUGCAGAUUCACAUGAGGGAGGAGUGCAGGUGCUGUAACCUUUUGCUGCUGGUCCUGUCAGAGUGAAAAACCCAGCUGUGCGGUGGGAAUGACAUACUGCAAAUAGGCCUUCAGCGUCUUAUUGGCAUUCAGGGGGCCUCUCUCUCCUCCUCCUUCUUCUUCUUCUCCUUCUCCUUCUUCUUCUUCUCUCUCUCCUCUGCGCCCCUCACUCACACACUCAGAUCCACUUCCUCGCUUGUCACCAUGCAUAUUGAUAAGCCCAUCCAGAGCACCAUCUUGUGGACAUUUCCAACUCUGGCGGUUGUCUAAAAUGUCACUUUUGAUUACAUUCAAUUUAGCAACUGACUCAUCAGGUUCAAUCAGAAACGCCCGGGUGUUUUUUUUUUUGUUUCCCCCCCCCCCCCCCCCCUCUUUAAGGACACGAUUUCAAUUAUGAAUCCAAUUUAUGGAAAUCAAUUCUCUCUAUUAUAAAAUAUAGCCGUCAUUAGCAUUGUCUGUCUCCUGUCUCUUCUCCUUGGCAUUUGGCUCAGCCAGACACAACUGAGCCAGCUUCUUUUUUAAUUCAUGACUCCUAGUUUUGAAGUGGGAUCAAAGGGAUAAGUUUUAGAGCAACAAGCAGAACUUUUUUUUUUAAUGUUUUUUGCAUAACAAACAGCGACAAAAACCAGUCUUACCCACAGUUCCAAAUACCCCCCACCAGCUCAUGUAAAUUGCAUUCCCGAAUUCGAUGUGCGUGUGUGCUGGCAUGAUAAUCUGCCUCCCCAGGGUGUGCGAUUGGUGCAACCCCACCGCCUGUGUUGUGGUGCAGCCAUCUGGAUCUCAGCGGGGAACACAUGACACCUUAACACGACAUCUGCUGCACUCUCCUCGCCAGUCGCCUCCAACUGGAAGCCCUUUCCCCUGUAUUAGCAAUAAAUGUUUGUGCCCCAAAGGCGUCGAUCGAAUGCAUUUCAGACCGAAUCUGUUGCAUUCGUUGAGAAUUGUUGUGAUUCUGCUGCUCUUUUUCAGCAACAUCCUGCAUACAUAUUGUUAUCUUUUAAAGCAGCACCAUGUCAGACCUUUUAAUCAGAAGAGAAAGAUCUUCAUUGACUGACUUUUUUAUGCUUGAAUAAAAUAAAUAAACAAGCGCUAUUUGCUUUCAUGACAGAUUAAACUGAAUAAAUAAACUGACCUCAAAGGACA